rnacentral:rRNA from 1 species
UACAGAGGUCUCAAGCGUUGUUCGGAUUCAUUGGGCGUAAAGAGCUCGUAGGUGGUUCGGUAAGUCGGAUGUGAAAUCUCCAGGCUCAACCUGGAGGGGUCAUUCGAUACUGCCGUGACUAGAGUUCGGUAGGGGAGUGUGGAAUUCCUGGUGGAGCGGUGAAAUGCGCAGAUAUCAGGAGGAACACCCGUAGCGAAGGCGGCACUCUGGGCCGAUACUGACACUGAGGAGCGAAAGCGUGGGGAGCGAACAGG